GGCAUCAUUCUCCCAAAAUACCGAUGUGCCAGGGGGUCGUCGUCACUGGAAUCUUUCCACUGUCAUCUACAGAGGUUCAUUCCAGGAACGAGUGCCAACAGUCUGAAUUUCCAGCUGUACCUCCUGGAUGGCCUCAACAGAUGGAACCAGGACAGAGAAGCUGCCUCUCUGGCAGUCCAGACCUCGUCACUGCGAAGCUACUCAGGUGACCUUGUUCACUGUGUCAACACCUACAGUACCAAGGUGCUUGGAAGGAAACUCGUCCCUUCUUUCCAACCUCCGUCUGUGUACACGGGAGAGCUGAUAGGUAUCGAUUACCUGUUCAGGCAGACAGGAAGGGCCAUGCAGAACACAGAGCCUGACACAGAGGAGACCGACCAGCUGCUGGAGGACAUUGGCACAGAGGGGGAGUUUGAAGACGAAGGCUUUGAAGAUGCAGAUGUAGACCCCACCGUAGGAUCCUUGGACACCACAAGCCCAUCUUCUCAGCCACCACCAACCAUCACCUCCCCAGUCUGUGUUGUGGAAAGCCCCACCUUUCCCCAACCUCCUGCAUCUGAUCCCAUCUCGUCUGCCCCAUGCCUCCCUGCUCCCACCCACCUU